rnacentral:rRNA from 1 species
CCUACGGGGGGCUGCAGUGGGGAAUAUUGGACAAUGGGGGGAACCCUGAUCCAGCCAUGCCGCGUGUGUGAAGAAGGCCCUCGGGUUGUAAAGCACUUUCAGUGAGGAAGAACGCCUGGUGGUUAAUACCCAUCAGGAAAGACAUCACUCACAGAAGAAGCACCGGCUAACUCCGUGCCAGCAGCCGCGGUAAUACGGAUGGUGCGAGCGUUACUCGGAAUUACUGGGCGUAAAGCGCGCGUAGGUGGCUUGAUAAGCCGGUUGUGAAAGCCCCGGGCUCAACCUGGGAACGGCAUCCGGAACUGUCAAGCUAGAGUGCAGGAGAGGAAGGUAGAAUUCCCGGUGUAGCGGUGAAAUGCGUAGAGAUCGGGAGGAAUACCAGUGGCGAAGGCGGCCUUCUGGACUGACACUGACACUGAGGUGCGAAAGCGUGGGUAGCAAACAGGAUUAGAUACCCCUGUAGUC